AUGCUACCGCGCUGCUGCUGGUUUCGAUGUUUGGGCGGGACCACCAUCAUCUCCCCUGCCGCGCGUCGCGCCGUCUCUCCGGUAGCGCUUGGGGGCUCGACUUCGUCCCGCCCCCGGAGCGGCCGUGCGGGACGGCGCGCCCUCGUCCUCGUCGUCGGCCUCUUCGUCAUCACCGUUGCGACGCCGGCCAUCCGUCCAUGCGCGCCGCGCGCGGGGCCUCGCUUCGGUCGGCCGCCUCCACCCACGUGCCGCUCGUGUAUGCUUCCCUCUGCGUUGCGCCUUGCUUCGGCCGACACACAAGCGCGCCUUCGCUCCUCCAUAUACCAUCUUUGCAAGCUAGCUAUAUGA
rnacentral:rRNA from 1 species